ACGAACGCUGGCGGCGUGCUUAAUACAUGCAAGUCGCACGGAAAGGCCCUGCUUUUGUGGGGUGCUCGAGUGGCGAACGGGUGAGUAACACGUGAGUAACCUGCCCUUGACUUUGGGAUAACUUCAGGAAACUGGGGCUAAUACCGGAUAGGAGCUCCUGCUGCAUGGUGGGGGUUGGAAAGUUUCGGCGGUUGGGGAUGGACUCGCGGCUUAUCAGCUUGUUGGUGGGGUAGUGGCUUACCAAGGCUUUGACGGGUAGCCGGCCUGAGAGGGUGACCGGCCACAUUGGGACUGAGAUACGGCCCAGACUCCUACGGGAGGCAGCAGUGGGGAAUAUUGCACAAUGGGCGGAAGCCUGAUGCAGCAACGCCGCGUGCGGGAUGACGGCCUUCGGGUUGUAAACCGCUUUCGCCUGUGACGAAGCGUGAGUGACGGUAAUGGGUAAAGAAGCACCGGCUAACUACGUG
rnacentral:rRNA from 1 species